CUUAGAAUUUUUUUUUCAUUUGAAUUCUGUUUUUGAUGUUUAUUAAUUAUUUUAUUGAGUGCUAAAAUACUAAAGAACGGUGGAAGAUAUACGACUUCUUCAUAAUACAACAUUUUACACGUGGAAUGGCAAAUUGAAUGUUUGAAUUUAGAUGCGAUAAAAAGAAGAAAAAAACUUGAUUUAUGCAUUGCCUACGAGUGGCUGAAAAACACUUGUAGCAGAAAUUCUUAUGCUAAAAGAACUCAUAGUUUGUGAACGUAAUGUUAUAUUUAUUUUGAAAUAUAUUGCACUAGUCCAAGAAAAGGUGCAAUCUUUAUGUCCAUUUGGCCUUAACUUGGAAUUCAAUGUUGAAGAAUAUGUUGGUGGCAAAGGGAAACAUCUCCAAUUCAUCGUAAACGUUAAUCAUCAACAUAUGUAUGCACUCUAGAGAGAGGAGCUGGACUGUUUCAUUGUAUGCUGGCUGAUAAUGGUCAGUUAAGUGGACGGAGGGUUGGAAUGAUUGUUGUUGAUGAAUUGCAUCUUCUCGCCGAACAAAAAAGGGGAGCUUUGUUAGAUGCAACUAUUACAAAAGUUUUAGACUCCCAGCAGUCCAAGCAUAAUAUUCCGAUAAUAGGUAUGUCAGCUACAACUGGAAAUAUGCAAGAAAUAGGUGACUUUUUAAAUGCUCACGUAUGCACAAGAGAUUUUAGACCUGUAAAGCUCACAGAAACUAUAAAAUUAAACGAACAAAUAUUUGUGAUAAAUAAAGAUGUUGAUGGUUCUUUGAAAAGUAAACUUGAUAGAAAAUUAGAUUUUGACUUUUCAGCCUGUCCUUAUACAUGUAUAUGGAAACCGAAAAUGCAGAGUUCAAUAUGGAAAGUGCAAACGUUGUGCACAUACCAACCGAUCCUCAACACACCUUGGGCUCAACUGUGUCGGAUACAGAGUCAACACAAGUAGAGGGAGUUCCAUACCGUUAAGCAGUUGGGAGUCUGUUGUAUUUGAGUCAAAUAACGAGACCCGAUAUAACAUUUGCUGUUAAUUUGGUCGGCCGUUAUCUAGAAAAACCUCAAAAAAGUGAUGCAGAUUAUGCUGGUGACGUAACCACAAGGAGAUCUACAUCAGGAUCAGCGUUCUGUGUUGGCAAGGGAUUAGUUGCAUGGAGCUCACGGAGACAGAAAUCAGUGUCACUUUCUACUACAGAGUAUAUUGCACUAAGCCAAUUCGUACAGGACCUUACCUGGUUAAUGCUAUUAAUGAGUGAUCUUCUGGAAACACAGGAAGUUAAACCAAUUAUAUAUGCAGAUAACCAGAGUGCUAUACGCCUUGUUAAAAACCCAGAAUUUCAUAAAAGAUCAAAGCAAAUCGAUGUAAGGUAUCAUUACAUCAGGGAAUCAAUA